rnacentral:tRNA from 1 species
GCCGGAGUGGCGGAAUGGCAGACGCAGCGGACUUAAAAUCCGCUGGGGCGCUUAGUCCCGUGCUGGUUCGAGUCCAGCCUCCGGCACCA